AGAGUUUGAUCAUGGCUCAGAUUGAACGCUGGCGGCAUGCUUUACACAUGCAAGUCGAACGGCAGCGCGGGGGCAACCCUGGCGGCGAGUGGCGAACGGGUGAGUAAUAUAUCGGAACGUACCCAAGAGUGGGGGAUAACGUAGCGAAAGUUACGCUAAUACCGCAUACGAUCUAAGGAUGAAAGCAGGGGACCGCAAGGCCUUGUGCUCCUGGAGCGGCCGAUAUCUGAUUAGCUAGUUGGUAGGGUAAAGGCCUACCAAGGCAUCGAUCAGUAGCUGGUCUGAGAGGACGACCAGCCACACUGGAACUGAGACACGGUCCAGACUCCUACGGGAGGCAGCAGUGGGGAAUUUUGGACAAUGGGCGCAAGCCUGAUCCAGCAAUGCCGCGUGAGUGAAGAAGGCCUUCGGGUUGUAAAGCUCUUUUGUCAGGGAAGAAACGGGCGAGGCUAAUAUCCUCGUCUAAUGACGGUACCUGAAGAAUAAGCACCGGCUAACUACGUGCCAGCAGCCGCGGUAAUACGUAGGGUGCAAGCGUUAAUCGGAAUUACUGGGCGUAAAGCGUGCGCAGGCGGUUUUGUAAGUUUGUCGUGAAAUCCCCGGGCUCAACCUGGGAAUGGCGAUGAAGACUGCAAGCUAGAAUCUGGCAGAGGGGGGUAGAAUUCCACGUGUAGCAGUGAAAUGCGUAGAGAUGUGGAGGAACACCGAUGGCGAAGGCAGCCCCCUGGGUCAAGAUUGACGCUCAUGCACGAAAGCGUGGGGAGCAAACAGGAUUAGAUACCCUGGUAGUCCACGCCCUAAACGAUGUCUACUAGUUGUC
rnacentral:rRNA from 1 species